ensembl:lncRNA
CAGUAGUUUAUUCGUCGGUCCAACUGUACAUGAUGCAGUGUUGAUAGGGACACGAGAUGAUGACUAACAUGGAGUUUUACACAAUGCCAGUGCGAUGGCAGCACUUGGAACACACCAACUGUCUGUCAGCUGAGCUGGAAACUAAAGUCCUGGAAAUGUAACCUGUUGAGGCCUCGGCACAUACAGUAUGUCAGAUUUGGAAUAGUCAUUUUUAGAUCGGUUGAAAAACACACAAAAUAUAUAUUUUCUUCGAUUCCACAAAUGUAAAAGGAUGCUCUUUCGCUUUUCACUUGGACAUGUUGAUUCAAUUAUGCACAUUGUCAUUCUUUAUUUCAGUACUUUGAAGCGAAAUGAAAUGAGAUGUGGGAAUAGCUGAAUACAAAAUGUUGGCUGAUUCGCAGAGGUUUUAUUCCAUGUUUAUACUGAUAUCAUUAUUUCAUGUAAUAACCCCAUAAGUUUGUGCAACAUCUUUCUUUGCAUAGAAAUAAAAUUUAAAUAUUUUGUUUGUUGACAUGCACCUUUUCUUUAGCAGCAUAUUUUAUCUUGCGGAUUUGGGACUCCCUUACAGAAUUAUAAGCCCACUAUAGUGUGAAUACAUGCAGCGUACCAGCAGAGAUGAACUUGAUUUCUAGUAAGAGUUUAUGAGAGCACAAGCCAGCCAGUAUAGUGGGUGUUGAUGAGGACUGUUAAAUAGUGACACCACCUGAUCAGACAGGUGGAACUAGUCUGCAGGGACACACUGUGUGUCUGUCUGCAGCACUGUGAGAGAGAGGAACAGACUAUGGGGAAAGUGCUCUGUGUGCGACAACAUCCAAACAUUCCACGUGAUUGAUUCUUUGGAUUUUGAGUCACUACUGGAAGUACUUAAGGAACCCGAUGACGUCAUUCAUAGACUGUGUCAUGUGUGAUCCAUCUUUUUGUCAUUAUCACUAUGCCCCGACCUUUAGAGAUGACACAUGUGCUGUAUACCGCUAAAUCUGACCUCUAGAGAAGACACAUGUACUGUAUACCCCUAAAUCUGACCUCUAGAGAAGCACCCCUAAAUCUGACCUCCAGAGAAGACACCCCUAAAUCUGACCUCCGGAGAAGACACCCCUAAAUCUGACCUCUGCUCUGUCCCAUGUAUACUGAACUUGACCCUUGACCUCUAUAUUGGAUAAAUACAGUGUGUAACGAGUGAUAACUUUGCUGAACACCUAAUAGGUAGAUCAUUACAUUCUCUGGUUAUCCAUAGCAUUUUGAACCAAAUCAUAAUUCUGUUACUGUUUUCUUUCAUUAACAUUACCAUAAACACCCGCUAUACAACAUGCUUAAAAUAAACCCAAAGCAGAAAUGAUAUGUUAUAAUUCAGAAGCUGGACUCUUGUUCCUCUUUUAUGUACAAUCUUGCCCAAUGUAUAUAUUUCCAUUUAUUGAAUGUGGUCUGUAUUUCCCAUUUUUAUGAGGCGAUCUCCUCCAUUUGAUGAUUCAGUAGAUCUCUCUUUUUGCUGUGUGCUGUUCAUAGCUUUGCCAUGCAGUUCUUUGCGAGGGCUCCGCAUGCCAGGGCCAGCGAGCUGCACGCUCUGUGAGGGAAAUCAUGCCUGGUGAACCUCUGUGGACUGGCGAUCAGAAGAGAGGAGUUCUGUGGCUAUAGAUAUCAGGGUGGUGUUGUUAGGUGGUUGGGUUGUUAGGUAGGUGGGUUGUUCGGAAGGUGGGUUGUUAGGUAGGGUUGGUGGGGUUGUUAGAUUGUUGGGUUGUUAGGAAGGUGGGUUGUUAGGUAGGUUGGUGGGGUUGUUAGAUUGUUGGGUUGUUAGGUGGGUGGGUUGUUAGGUAGGUGGGUUGUUAGGUAGGUUAGUGGGGUUGUUAGAUUGUUGGGUUGUUAGGAAGGUGGGUUGUUAUUUUUGAUGAUUUUUUUUUUACCCCUUUUUUCUCCCCAAUUUCGUGGUAUUCAAUUGGUAGUUACAGUCUUGUCUCAUCGCUGCAACUCCCGUACGGACUCAGGAGAUGCAAAGGUCGAGAGCCAUGCGUCCUCCGAAACACAACCCAACCUAGCCGCACUGCUUCUUGACAUAACGCACAUCCAACCUAUAUGUGCGUCCUCCAAUGUGUCGGAGGAAACACCGUACACCUGGCGACCUGGUCAAAAUGCACUGCGCCCUGCCACAGGAGUCGCUAGUGCGCGAUGAGACAAGGAUAUCCCUGCCGGCCAAACCCUCCCUAACCCGGACAACGCUGUGCAUCGCCCCAAGGACCUCCCGGUCGCGGCCGGCUGCGACAGAGCCUGGGCUUGAACCCAGAAUCUCUGCUGGCACUGCGAUGCAGUGCCUUUAGACAACUGUAACACCCGAGAGGCCCGGUAGGUGGAUUGUUAGGUAGGUGGGUUGUUAGGUGGUGAGGUUGUUAGGUAGGUGGGUGAGGUUGUUAGGUAGGUGGGUGGGGUUGUUAGGUAGGUGGGUGGGGUUGUUAGGUGGGUUGUUAGGUAAGUGUGUGGGGUUGUUAGGAAGGUUGGUGUGGUUGUUAGGUAGGUGGGUGGGGUUGUUAGGUGGGUUGUUAGGUAAGUGUGUGUGGUUGUUAGGAAGGUGGGUGGGGUUGUUAGGUAGGUGGGUGGGGUUGUUAGGUAGGUUGUUAGGUAGGUGUGUGGGGUUGUUAGGAAGGUGGGUGUGGUUGUUAGGUAGGUGGGUGGGGUUAGGUGGGUGGGUGGGGUUUUAGGUGGGAUGUUAGGUAAGUGGGUGGGGUUGUUAGAUAGGUGGGUGGGGUUGUUAGGUGAGUGGGUUGUUAGGUGGGUAGGGUUGUUAGGUGGGUGGGGUUGUUAGGUGGUGGGAUUCAGGGGCGGACUGAAACAAUAAUUCAGGCAGAGAAUUUGACUCCAUCCCAGGCCACCCUGUUCACACAAACCACCAGACUGCUAAUUUUGUAGGCUAACCCUAUUUGUUGAUGUAACGGGUACCAAACUAGUUAUACAUUUGGCCACUAUGUUAAUCUGGGAAGAAAGUUACCCACAUGACAAAAUGCAAACAUUUGGGACUGACCAACAAGUAGCCUAUCUGAACACUGAGUUUUCAAGGUAUGCUAUGGCUAUGGGUGCCCCCUCAUAAACUCUCUAGGAAUACACCAAUCAUAGCACAUACAAAUGUACAAGGUAUGGCCCCCGAUUACAGUCCUACUGAUAAUCUCAUAAAUAAAGCACAUAUUAAUCUAAAAUCAUAGCCUACAUGUUUAGGUUUGUGCUCUUAAGUUGUUGCUGAAGGUUCCUGCUCUGAGUCUGACUCUGAACUGUCCACCUCCUCCAGUUCUGCAAGAGCACCUGAAGCUCUAGUGCUGCUGCUGCUUCCUUCCUCCACCUUUACAAAGAAAAGACUGUAUUAUCACACUAUCAUUAGUGUAUCAGUAGGCUACAUUAAUACAGCUCUGGGAAACAUUAAGAGUGGUCUCUUAACUUGGAGUGGUCUCUUAACUUGGAGUGGUCUCUUAACUUGGAGUGGUCUCUUAACUUGGAGUGGUCUCUUAACUUGGAGUGGUCUCUUAACUUGGAGUGGUCUCUUAACUUGGAGUGGUCUCUUAACUUGGAGUGGUCUCUUCAUUUAGAGUGGUCUCUUCAUUUGGAGUGGUCUCUUCAUUAAGAGUGGUCUCUUAAUUGGAGUGGUCUCUUCAUUUAGAGUGGUCUCUUCAUUUGGAGUGGUCUCUUAACUUGGAGUGGUCUCUUCAUUUGGAGUGGUCUCUUCAUUUGGAGUGGUCUCUUCAUUUGGAGUGGUCUCUUCAUUUAGAGUGGUCUCUUAACUUGGAGUGGUCUCUUC